rnacentral:tRNA from 1 species
GCCCGUGUAGCUCAGAUGGUAGAGCAGCCCACUUGUAAUGGGAUGGUCCGGGGUUCGAUUCCUCGCUGGGGCACCA